rnacentral:lncRNA from 1 species
AUGUUAAACAUAGAUGAAAAUGAAGAUUCGGAUUCUAAUUUAGACAAUAUACAGUUGCCUAACCCUAGAAUAACAAUAACUCUAAUGCAUACACCUAAGAUUAAUCAAGGGUUGGGUUUAGUGUCAAUGGAGCAAAAACAUAUGAAAUUCUCUAUUUGGGAAAACUUAGGCCAUAUAUAUUUUAGUGGUACAUUAAAAGACUUGGAGGUUGCUUAUCUUAAUAUAAAUGUCGAAGAUAUGUCAGCACCUAAAGGAGCUAGGAAUAUAGGGACAUGUAUAGUGCCAUUGAAAGGAAUUGUUGAUUACCCAUAUAUAACGCAUGAUUUAGAAGCUCCUCCAUGGGUUAUUGAAGAAGCAAAGUAUGAAGGUUGGUAUAAUAAAUUAACAGAAUGGAAGUUUGGUUCUGCAGAAGGUAGAGUUGCUAUUUCGUGUAUACCCCGAUACAGACAACAAGGCGAUAUAUAUUACAUAGAUAGUAAACAUACUUAUUUAAUGGUACAUAUUUUAAAUGUAGAUCAAAUUAUUACUAUGGAAAAUAUAAAAGAAUUAGAUACAUAUGUAGAGGUAUCUUUUGAUGAAACUAGUCGUAGAACAAAAUUGAUUAAAAAAAGUUUAAAACCAAAUUAUGAUACUCAAUUAGCUAUACCUUUACGAUUUAGUAACAAAAAUCAAAUGACUUAUGAAAACUUUUGUAAUAAAGGAGUUAUAUAUAUAGAUGUUUGGGGUCAAACAGAUGAAAUUGUUUAUAUUGGUGGUAUAUCUGUAACACCACAUGAAAUUUUUUUUACCGAAAAAAAUAUAAGAAGAGAUACAACAAAAUUAGAAUAUAUAGAUUCCGAAACAAAUACAAAAACUAAUUACGAAACAAUUGUUUAUCAUAGUAGUAAAAAGUUAAUAUAUUUACAUGAAGACCAAAGACCAUCUAUGAUACAUUUUAACAUAUGGACAUAUCCUGGUAUAUUGGAUUUACAACCUAAUAAAUUAUACAAAUCACCAGUUGUAAAUAGUAUUCAAUAUUUACCUAUAAAAUUAGCAAAAAAAUAUGAAAAGUUAACAAAAUUAUAUAGAGAAGUUUUAUCAACUAUUAAAGCUAUACCUGAAAAAUUAGAAGAUAUAAAUAAAGCAAAUAGAUAUUUAAAUUAUGAAUUAUUAAAUCAAAGAAAAGAAUAUAAAUUUUUACCUACAUUAAUUACUAAUGUAAAAUCACCUUAUUAUCCUGAGUCAACUAAUGCUAUAUUUCAUUAUAUAAGAUGUAUACCUUUUAUUCAUAAAAAAGAAAAUUUAGCAUUUACACCUGAUUUUACAAUACAGUUAAAAGGAGGAAAUGCAUUAGAUCAUAGUCUUUUAUUAUGUAGCUUAUUUUUAGGAAUUCCUGUUAUAUCUUUUGUAUGUUUUGGUACUUUAUGGGAUAAUCAAAAACAUGUAUGGGUUGCUACAUUAGAGCAUAAUGAAAAAAAAAAUUAUGGGUUUAUAAAAUUUUGGGAAACAACUACAGGUAAUAUAUAUAUAUUAAAAAAAAGAUUUUUGGAUAUAAAUAGAUUAAAAGGAUUAGAAAUGAAAAUAAAUGAAACGAAAUAUAAGCUUCAUUUAAGAGGUGAUUACUUAAGUAGAAGUUAUAAUAAAAAAAUAAAUAAAAAUCGUAUUAAAGAAGAUACAAAAGAAUAUAUAAAUAAUUUAUUUCAAAAUAGAGAUACAAAUAUACCUACAGGUGGUAUACCAUUACCAUAUAAAACUAUUGAUUUAAUUUUUAACAAUAAAAAUAUAUAUGUUAAUUUACAAGAUCCUAAUCCUUUAAAUAUAUGGUAUGAUUAUUGGAAUAUAGAAUAUUGGUUCCCUUUUUCAUCAGUUGAAUAUAAUAUUAAACCAUGUUUUACUAUUUAUAAUUUUUGUCAUAAAACUGAAGAUACGGAAUUAGAUAAAAUGGCAAAAGAAUUAAGAAGUAAAAUAGAAAAAAAUAUUAAUGUUUUUAGAGCUUCGAGAAAUUUAUCAACAAGAUGGAACAGAGAUGAAACUUUAGAAACAUUUUUACAAGUAGGUAUAGAAUUACUACAUCAAUUAAAUACAGCACGUACUGAAGAUACUUUAUUAGCUAAAGUUAAAAUCGAUGAUUGGAAAAAAGCAUUAUAUCAGAAAGUACCACCUAGUCAUAGAUUAUUAGGAUUCCCAUAUCAUUUUAAUACUUGUAAAUCAAAGUUUAUAUCAAAUAAACUUAUUAGUACUCUUGCUAUUUUAGAAUCAAGAGACCGUACAUUGUGUUUUUCUUUAGCUGUAUGUUUAUACAGUUUACCAGGCAAUUUUAUUUCUACUUACAUUUACAUAAUUAGUUGUGUAAAAAUUACACAACGCGAGUUACGUAAGAUUGAAAUGAAUAAAGAAAAGGUGAGUAUAGAUACACGUACGCACAUGUAUGCACAUAUACACCGAUAUAUAUAUAUACGUAUACACACAUGUAUACACCGAUAUAUAUAUAUAUACGUAUACACACAUGUA